UACGUAGGGGGCGAGCGUUGUCCGGAGUUACUGGGCGUAAAGCGCACGCAGGCGGUCUGCUAAGUUUGGAGUGACAGUUGGUGGCUUAACUGCCAAAGUGCUUCGAAAACUGACAGACUUGAGGGCUUCAGAGGGACACGGAAUUCCGGGUGGAGUGGUGAAAUGCGUAGAGAUCCGGAGGAACACCAAAGGCGAAGGCAGUGUCCUGGGGAGUACCUGACGCUCAGGUGCGAAAGCCAGGGGAGCUAACGGG
rnacentral:rRNA from 1 species